AUUGAACGCUGGCGGCAUGCCUUACACAUGCAAGUCGAACGGUAACAGGUUAAGCUGACGAGUGGCGAACGGGUGAGUAAUGUAUCGGAACGUGCCCAGUCGUGGGGGAUAACUACUAGAAAGAGUGGCUAAUACCGCAUACGACCUGAGGGUGAAAGCGGGGGACCGUAAGGCCUCGCGCGAUGGGGACGGCCGAUAUCAGAUUAGCUAGUUGGUGGGGUAAAAGCCCACCAAGGCGACGAUCUGUAGCUGGUCUGAGAGGACGACCAGCCACACUGGGACUGAGACACGGCCCAGACUCCUACGGGAGGCAGCAGUGGGGAAUUUUGGACAAUGGACGCAAGUCUGAUCCAGCCAUGCCGCGUGCGGGAAGAAGGCCUUCGGGUUGUAAACCGCUUUUGUCAGGGAAGAAACGAGUUUCUCUAAUACAGAGACUUAAUGACGGUACCUGAAGAAUAAGCACCGGCUAACUACGUGCCAGCCGCCGCAGUAAAAC
rnacentral:rRNA from 1 species